GGGUGAUUGGUCUACCGGUAAGAUUCUCGCUUCGGGUGCGAGAGACAUCGGGUUCGAUUCCCGAAUCGCCCC